rnacentral:rRNA from 1 species
CGGAAUUACUGGGCGUAAAGCGCAUGCAGGUGGUUUGUUAAGUCAGAUGUGAAAGCCCGGGGCUCAACCUCGGAAUAGCAUUUGAAACUGGCAGACUAGAGUACUGUAGAGGGGGGUAGAAUUUCAGGUGUAGCGGUGAAAUGCGUAGAGAUCUGAAGGAAUACCGGUGGCGAAGGCGGCCCCCUGGACAGAUACUGACACUCAGAUGCGAAAGCGUGGGGAGCAAACAGGAUUAGAUACCCUGGUAGUCCACGCCGUAAACGAUGUCUACUUGGAGGUUGUGGCCUUGAGCCGUGGCUUUCGGAGCUAACGCGUUAAGUAGACCGCCUGGGGAGUACGG